AAGACAACAUAUUUAAUGUUCAAACUGAUAGACUUUUUUGUUUUUUUUGGAAAAGUGUACUGUGGUCUGAUGAGUCCACAUUUCAGAUUGUUAUGGGAAAUCAUGAACAUCAUGUCCGCUGGACAAAACAGGAAAAAGACCAUCCAGAUUGUUACCAGCGCAAAAUUCAAAAGCCAGGAUCUGUGAUGUAUGGGGGUGUGUUAGUGCCCAUGGCAUGGGCAACUUACACAUCUGUGAUGG